rnacentral:rRNA from 1 species
AACGAACGCUGGCGGCAGGCUUAACACAUGCAAGUCGAGCGCCCCGCAAGGGGAGCGGCAGACGGGUGAGUAACACGUGGGAACCUUCCUAGAGGUACGGAACAACUCAGGGAAACUUGAGCUAAUACCGUAUACGCUUUUGGGAGGAAAGAUUUAUCGCCUUUAGACGGGCCCGCGUCGGAUUAGCUAGUUGGUGGGGUAACGGCCUACCAAGGCGACGAUCCGUAGCUGAUCUGAGAGGAUGAUCAGCCACACUGGGACUGAGACACGGCCCAGACUCCUACGGGAGGCAGCAGUGGGGAAUCUUGGACAAUGGGCGCAAGCCUGAUCCAGCCAUGCCGCGUGAGUGAAGAAGGCCUUCGGGUUGUAAAGCUCUUUUGCCUGGGACGAUAAUGACGGUACCUGGAGAAUAAGCCCCGGCAAACUUCGUGCCAGCAGCCGCGGUAACAC